GGGUUGUGAGGUUAAGCGACUAAGCGUACACGGUGGAUGCCCUGGCAGUCAGAGGCGAUGAAGGACGUGCUAAUCUGCGAAAAGCGUCGGUAAGGUGAUAUGAACCGUUAUAACCGGCGAUGUCCGAAUGGGGAAACCCAGUGUGAUUCGUCACACUAUCGUUAACUGAAUACAUAGGUUAACGAGGCGAACCGGGGGAACUGAAACAUCUAAGUACCCCGAGGAAAAGAAAUCAACCGAGAUUCCCCCAGUAGCGGCGAGCGAACGGGGAGCAGCCCAGAGUCUGAAUCAGCUUGUGUGUUAGUGGAACGGUCUGGAAAGUCCGACGGUACAGGGUGAUAGUCCCGUACACCAAAAUGCACAGGCUGUGAACUCGAAGAGUAGGGCGGGACACGUGGUAUCCUGUCUGAAUAUGGGGGGACCAUCCUCCAAGGCUAAAUACUCCUGACUGACCGAUAGUGAACCAGUACCGUGAGGGAAAGGCGAAAAGAACCCCGGCGAGGGGAGUGAAAAAGAACCUGAAACCGUGUACGUACAAGCAGUGGGAGCACCUUCGGGUGUGACUGCGUACCUUUUGUAUAAUGGGUCAGCGACUUAUAUUCUGUAGCAAGGUUAACCGUAUAGGGGAGCCGCAGGGAAACCGAGUCUUAACUGGGCGUUAAGUUGCAGGGUAUAGACCCGAAACCCGGUGAUCUAGCCAUGGGCAGGUUGAAGGUUGGGUAACACUAACUGGAGGACCGAACCGACUAAUGUUGAAAAAUUAGCGGAUGACUUGUGGCUGGGGGUGAAAGGCCAAUCAAACCGGGAGAUAGCUGGUUCUCCCCGAAAGCUAUUUAGGUAGCGCCUCGUGAAUUCAUCUUCGGGGGUAGAGCACUGUUUCGGCUAGGGGGUCAUCCCGACUUACCAACCCGAUGCAAACUACGAAUACCGAAGAAUGUUAUCACGGGAGACACACGGCGGGUGCUAACGUCCGUCGUGAAGAGGGAAACAACCCAGACCGCCAGCUAAGGUCCCAAAGUCAUGGUUAAGUGGGAAACGAUGUGGGAAGGCACAGACAGCCAGGAUGUUGGCUUAGAAGCAGCCAUCAUUUAAAGAAAGCGUAAUAGCUCACUGGUCGAGUCGGCCUGCGCGGAAGAUGUAACGGGGCUAAACCAUGCACCGAAGCUGCGGCAGCGACACUAUGUGUUGUUGGGUAGGGGAGCGUUCUGUAAGCCUGCGAAGGUGUGCUGUGAGGCAUGCUGGAGGUAUCAGAAGUGCGAAUGCUGACAUAAGUAACGAUAAAGCGGGUGAAAAGCCCGCUCGCCGGAAGACCAAGGGUUCCUGUCCAACGUUAAUCGGGGCAGGGUGAGUCGACCCCUAAGGCGAGGCCGAAAGGCGUAGUCGAUGGGAAACAGGUUAAUAUUCCUGUACUUGGUGUUACUGCGAAGGGGGGACGGAGAAGGCUAUGUUAGCCGGGCGACGGUUGUCCCGGUUUAAGCAUGUAGGCUGAUUGUCCAGGCAAAUCCGGAUAAUCAAGGCUGAGGUGUGAUGACGAGGCACUACGGUGCUGAAGUAACAAAUGCCCUGCUUCCAGGAAAAGCCUCUAAGCAUCAGGUAACAUUAAAUCGUACCCCAAACCGACACAGGUGGUCAGGUAGAGAAUACCAAGGCGCUUGAGAGAACUCGGGUGAAGGAACUAGGCAAAAUGGUGCCGUAACUUCGGGAGAAGGCACGCUGGUGUGUAGGUGAAGCCCCUGCGGGUGGAGCUGAGACCAGUCGAAGAUACCAGCUGGCUGCAACUGUUUAUUAAAAACACAGCACUGUGCAAACACGAAAGUGGACGUAUACGGUGUGACGCCUGCCCGGUGCCGGAAGGUUAAUUGAUGGGGUUAUCCGUAAGGAGAAGCUCUUGAUCGAAGCCCCGGUAAACGGCGGCCGUAACUAUAACGGUCCUAAGGUAGCGAAAUUCCUUGUCGGGUAAGUUCCGACCUGCACGAAUGGCGUAAUGAUGGCCAGGCUGUCUCCACCCGAGACUCAGUGAAAUUGAACUCGCUGUGAAGAUGCAGUGUACCCGCGGCAAGACGGAAAGACCCCGUGAACCUUUACUAUAGCUUGACACUGAACAUUGAGCCUUGAUGUGUAGGAUAGGUGGGAGGCUUUGAAGCGUGGACGCCAGUCUGCGUGGAGCCAACCUUGAAAUACCACCCUUUAAUGUUUGAUGUUCUAACGUUGGCCCCUGACCGGGGUUGCGGACAGUGUCUGGUGGGUAGUUUGACUGGGGCGGUCUCCUCCCAAAGCGUAACGGAGGAGCACGAAGGUUAGCUAAUCCUGGUCGGACAUCAGGAGGUUAGUGCAAUGGCAUAAGCUAGCUUGACUGCGAGCGUGACGGCGCGAGCAGGUGCGAAAGCAGGUCAUAGUGAUCCGGUGGUUCUGAAUGGAAGGGCCAUCGCUCAACGGAUAAAAGGUACUCCGGGGAUAACAGGCUGAUACCGCCCAAGAGUUCAUAUCGACGGCGGUGUUUGGCACCUCGAUGUCGGCUCAUCACAUCCUGGGGCUGAAGUAGGUCCCAAGGGUAUGGCUGUUCGCCAUUUAAAGUGGUACGCGAGCUGGGUUUAGAACGUCGUGAGACAGUUCGGUCCCUAUCUGCCGUGGGCGCUGGAGAAUUGAGGGGGGCUGCUCCUAGUACGAGAGGACCGGAGUGGACGCAUCACUGGUGUUCGGGUUGUCAUGCCAAUGGCACUGCCCGGUAGCUAAAUGCGGAAGAGAUAAGUGCUGAAAGCAUCUAAGCACGAAACUUGCCCCGAGAUGAGUUCUCCCUGAGACUUUAAGUCUCCUGAAGGAACGUUGAAGACGACGACGUUGAUAGGCCGGGUGUGUAAGCGCAGCGAUGCGUUGAGCUAACCGGUACUAAUGAACCGUGAGGCUUAACCUUACAACGCCGAAG
rnacentral:rRNA from 1 species